rnacentral:piRNA from 1 species
UAUUUGUAGUGAACGAAUGAAUAGGUGAG